rnacentral:rRNA from 1 species
AACGAACGCUGGCGGCAUGCCUAACACAUGCAAGUCGAACGAGACCUUCGGGUGUAGUUGCUCACGGGUGCGUAAAGCGGGGGAACGUGCCCUUAUGCUCCGAAUAACUCCCUGACAGGGGUGCUAAUACCGGAUAAUGUCUUCGAACCCAAGAUUUAACGCCUUUGGAUGAGCCCGCGUUGGUUUAGCUAGCUGGUAUGGUAAGAGCCUACCACGGCGAAGAUCCAUAGCUGGUCUGAGAGAAUGAGCAGCCACACUGGGACUGAGACACGGCCCAGACUCCUACGGGAGGGAGGAGUGGGGAAUAUUGGAAAACGGGCGAAAGCAUGAACCAGCAAGGCCGGGUGAGUGAUGAAGGCCUGAGGGUUGUAAAGCUCUUUUAUCCGGGACGAUAAUGACAGUACCGGGAGAAUAAGCACCGGCUAACUCCGUG